GAUGAACGCUGGCGGCGUGCCUAAUACAUGCAAGUCGAGCGAACGGACGAGAAGCUUGCUUUUCUGAUGUUAGCGGCGGACGGGUGAGUAACACGUGGAUAACCUACCUAUAAGACUUGGAUAACUUCGGGAAACCGGAGCUAAUACCGUAUAAUAUUUUGAACCGCAUGGUUCAAAAGUGAAAGACGGUCUUUCUGUCACUUAUAGAUGUAUCCGCGCUUCAUUAGCUAGUUGGUAAGGUAACGGCUUACCAAGGCAACGAUGCAUAUCCGACCUGAGAGGGUGAUCGGCCACACUGGAACUGAGACACGGACAAGACUACUACGGGAGGCAGCAGUAGGGAAUAUUCCGCAAUGGGCGAAAGCAUGACGGAGCAAAGCCGCGUGAGUGAUGAAGGUCUUCGGAUCGUAAAACUCUGUUAUUAGGGAAGAACAUAUGUGUAAGUAAAUGUGCACAUAUUGACGGUACCUAAUCAGAAAGCAACGGCUAACUACGUG
rnacentral:rRNA from 1 species